rnacentral:tRNA from 1 species
UCCGCCCUGGUGUAAUGGCAACACUCCAGCCUUUGGAGCUGUGUAUUCUAGGUUCGAAUCCUAGGGGCGGAACUA